rnacentral:rRNA from 1 species
UACGUAGGGUGCGAGCGUUAUCCGGAAUUAUUGGGCGUAAAGAGCUCGUAGGCGGUUUGUCACGUCUGCUGUGAAAACUGGAGGCUCAACCUCCAGCCUGCAGUGGGUACGGGCAGACUAGAGUGCGGUAGGGGAGAUUGGAAUUCCCGGUGUAGUGGUGAAUGACGUAGAUAUCGGGAGGAACACCAGUGGCGAAGGCGACUUCCUGGCCUGUUCUUGACGCUGAGGCGCGAAAGCUAGGGGUAGCAAACGGG